rnacentral:rRNA from 1 species
GACGAACGCUGGCGGCGUGCUUAACACAUGCAAGUCGAACGGAAAGGCCCUGCUUUUGUGGGGUGCUCGAGUGGCGAACGGGUGAGUAUAACUCAGGAACCCCCUCCCUAUCUUGGGGUAACCUCUGGAAAACGGGGGUAAUACCGGCAUAUAAUCUUCUGCGCCUGGUGGGGGAUGGGAAAUUGCGGGGGUUGGGGUUGGUCCUGGGGGUUUCCGCCCUGCUGGGGGGGGUGGGACUUACCAAAGCUUUGACGGGUAGCCGGCCUGAGAGGGUGACCGGCCACAUUGGGACUGAGAUACGGCCCAGACUCCUACGGGAGGCAGCAGUGGGGAGUAUUGCACAAUGGGCGGAAGCCUGAUGCAGCAACGCCGCGUGCGGAAUGACGGCCUUCGGGUUGUAAACCGCUUUCGCCGGAGACGAAGCGUGAGUGACGGUAAUGGGUAAGGAAGCACCGGCUAACUACGUG